CACCCGCAGCGGCAAGCGUCUGAAAGGGGGGCGCGGCCGGAGAUUGGAACAGGGCUGGCCAAGCACGCUGCGGGGAAGCACGGGGCCGGAUGUCGGGGGACAUCCGGCCCCAUCUUU
rnacentral:antisense_RNA from 1 species